UCAUUCAUAUUAAUAAUUUAAGAAAUUAAAACGUAUACCAGUAUUGCUCCAUCAACAUGGUAUGGGUCCACCUUUUUAAUUUUGAAUAUUGUUUCAGAUCCUCAAAGCAAAUAAUUCAUAUUGAGUUUUUCAUGCAGAAAUGUCUACAUUGACUUAUAUUAUGAGCCGUAACUAUUGUGAUUGGAAAUGUCAAUAAUGCAAUCUGAUACAGACGAAUCUGAAUCUGAAAUAUGUUUAUUACGAAAAAAUGGACCAAUUAAGCAUAGCUGCCAUUUGUGGAGGCCUAAUAAUAAAGUGAAAAAUAAGAAUAAAUUUAAUUCCUGUAAUUUUCAUAAUCACAAUAGCCACAUAAAUUUAAGUUGUUGCAAUUAUGUUUAAUAAAAUAUGUGUGAUUGUUAUUUUCAGCAUUAUGAAAAAUGUAAAACCAGGAAAGAUGUUAUAUCUGAUUUGUACUGGAAGACUAGAGCUAUAACCGGUAACUAAUAUUGCAACUAAUUUUUGAUAAUCACAUCUACGUACAAUUAUAUUUGAUACACUAUCUCUGUUAUUCUACGCUAUUCUAUUUUGUAGAUUUCUUUGACUUAAAUCACUAAAUAGUAACUUAUUCAAUAAUUAUUUCCGACUUCAGUUGUUAUCAAUAAGUAAAUCUCUAUUCUUUGAUAAUAUCAUAAUUUCCAGAUAAUCUUCAUCUACAGGUUUUUUCAAGCUCUCAAUAAACAAAAGUGUGAUUGUCACAAUGACAAGACAGUAAGAAAAGGAUGUCCUAAUGUUCAAAAGUCAAUUGCUUGAGAGUUCAGAGUAUGGUAGACAAGUACAACAAAAAAGUAAGUAGGGACAUGUAUAAUUUUAUUACUCAGUUUU